AGGGUUAUAUUUAAACAUAAUAGUUGAUUUGCAGUCAAAAGGUAUCUUAAAUAAGAUUAGCCUUA
rnacentral:tRNA from 1 species